GGAACCUGGUUGAUCCUGCCAGUAGUGUAUGCUUUUCCUAAAGAUUAAGCCAUGCAUGCCUAAGACUAUGAGGAAGCAAUUCUCUCUGAAUCUGCGAACGGCUCCGCAAACCAGUUGUAAACCAUAGCAGCGUUCCGCCCGGCUUCAGCAAUGGAGCCGGGCAUUAUAUGGAUAACCGUGGUAAUUCUGAGGCU
rnacentral:rRNA from 1 species